AGUGAACGCUGGCGGCGUGCUUAAUACAUGCAAGUCGAACGAUGAAGUCCUAGCUUGCUAGGAUGGAUUAGUGGCGCACGGGUGAGUAAUAUAUAGUUAAUCUGCCUUGCACUGAGGAACAACAGUUGGAAACGAUUGCUAAUACCUCAUACUCCAACUUUACAUAAGUUAAGUUGGGAAAGUCUUUUCGGUGCAAGAUGAGACUAUAUCGUAUCAGCUAGUUGGUAAGGUAAUGGCUUACCAAGGCUAUGACGCGUAACUGGUCUGAGAGGAUGAUCAGUCACAUUGGAACUGAGACACGGUCCAAACUCCUACGGGAGACAGCAGUAAGGAAUAUUGUGCAAUGGGGGAAACCCUGACGCAGCAACGCCGCGUGGAGGAUGACACUUUUCGGAGCGUAAACUCCUUUUGUUAGGGAAGAAUAAUGACGGUACCUAACGAAUAAGCACCGGCUAACUCCGUG
rnacentral:rRNA from 1 species